UGAUAGUAUGCCAACAUGUUUGAAUUUUGAUACUAGCAAAUUCUUGGUUUAUUUGUUUGUAGUUUGUGUUUGUAUUACCUGUUUAGUGGAAAUUACUGCCGUUACACGGUUAAUGUUGACUUUUUCCUUUAUCACAUGCCUGAUAUUGUUGCAAUGAUAAUGGACAAAGCAAACAUAGCUGUUUCAGUCCAAUUUAGCAAAACUCAAUAUCAAGAGAUUUGUUAGGCGCUGUAAUUGGGGUGUGUUUUUGUAUAAGAUGCUGAGUGGAGCUGCCUGUAAAUAUUUCAAAUUUGGGAUUAGCCUAACAAAACUGCAAAAUAGGCGCGCUCUACUCUGAUUCUUUUAAUGAGUGUAUUUAUUGGGUAUUUUCUUAAUGGAUUUAGGAAACGAAGCCAUAGAUAGGGGGCAAAAAAGACUUGGGAAGGAAAAUAAUCAUUUGUUUGAUGCUCUUUCUCAAAGGAGCGACAAGUAUAUACACUUUCUAGUGGUUGUCCUGGCUACCAAAUUAAAUUCUUUGCCAACUGUUUUUUUUGGUGUUACUUAUAUUGGUACCUUCUAAUUCGAUGAUGUAUUAUGCAUACAAUUUAUUGCAUGUACAUUGGUCAAGGAUUAAGCAGUUUUUACAUAUUAUUUUGCGGUUUAACUGCAAAUUGAAAAAGAUUCUAUUUGAAUUUAGUUAUGUAUGAAAAAUGCAGACAAGUAUUUUUUUAUGAUAGUCUCGAUUCUGCUGAAUCUUAUACUGGAGAUGUACAUUUUAAAUAUUGCCAUGUGUGAUCAUAUACGUGUCCAAGAAGAUAUAGUAUGAGGCUCUGUAUCGCUGAUUGGUUAAUUGUGCUAACAUAUCUGCAUGAAACCUGUAGUCAGUUAGAGUACAGUUGAAUGCUCUGUUGCCCUCUGGUUCAUUGGUUUCUUGAUCAAUUAUUUCAAAUUAUUGCUAUUUGAAAGCCUUCUAAGGGCUAAUAACAAUAUAACAUUCUAAGAGAGAAAAACAAAUGCAUGGAGAUUCUGUUUGUUGACGUUUGAGAAUAAAUUUUUUUGCCAUUUUUGCUCUUUGCAUCUUCCCUGGAAAGUAUAGGGAAAAGAGAGUUCUUAGUAAGAUAACCGACUAGUCACAUAGCAAGGUUCCUUUUUUCUUAGAUCGUGCAGCCAUUAUCGUCCCUUUUCAGAUAUGGUGACAUUAUUUGUAUGAGGGAAGUACCAGAUAUUUAGGGAUCUUAAGAGCUUGAGGGUGCAUAGGUAUAAGGAAUGCAUGAUAAUAUGAUCCGUCAUCGCUCAAUUUAAAGAAGUUUAGAAGGCAAGAAAAAUAAGCUUUUGUAUAUCUUCAUGUCUGUAACUGUUUCUUGGAGGAUGCUGCUUUUUCAAGUUGUGGUUUGAGCACCCAUGAGCCAGUAGUAGUCAUAAUGAUUGUUAGGAACUAAGUUGUCUUGUAUUUGUAUGUUACUUAUGUCAGAUAUUGCGUUCUUCUAUCUGUCUUUAUUAACGUUUCAUGAGAUUAAUUGCUUAGUUUGCCAAAACUUUUCAUCUCUCAAGCUAUAAUUUUUUUUUUUCCUAUAUCUAGGGCUGAACAUGUGGAUCAUCUUACCAAAUAGGGUAUUUGUAUCCACACCUGUGUUCAUAGGAUGUAUCAGAAAGUGUACUUCUCUUGUUUUUUAAGCUUUAACUGGUUGUUAAACUGUUAAAUUAAAUAAGUUAGCAUUAUUGGUGUAAGAUCUAAGAUGAUAGUAGAUGUUCUCUUAUAUGCUAUGGUGUCCAUGGACUUCUAUGUACUUCGGAAGAGUUCUCUAAUGGCAAAGGAAGAAGCCAUCGCUGUUAAAGAUGCUGUCCACAAGUUGCAACUCUGUCUUCUUGAAGGCAUUAAAGAUGAAAACCAACUCUUUUCUGCUGGGUCUUUGCUGUCUCUGAGCGAUUAUCAGGAUGUAGUAACUGAACGAUCAAUAGCAAACAUGUGUGGUUAUCCUCUUUGCAGCAACUCCCUGCCUUCUGAAAGGCCUCGGAAAGGACAUUACAGAAUAUCAUUGAAGGACCAUAAAGUUUAUGAUCUUCAUGAAACAUACAUGUACUGUUCAACAAAUUGCGUUGUCAGUAGUAGAACAUUUGCUGGUAGCUUGCAAGACGAAAGAAGCUCUACAUUGAAUCCAGCAAAACUUAAUGAAGUCCUGAAAUUAUUUGAGGGAUUGCAUUUGCAUUCCACAGAGGAUGUGAAGGAAAAUGGUGACCUAGGAUCUUCCAAGUUGAAGAUUCAGGAAAAAUUGGAUGUAAAGGGUGGUGAAGUUUCACUGGAAGAGUGGAUGGGUCCAUCUAAUGCAAUUGAAGGCUAUGUUCCACAGAGAGAUCGCAUUGUGAAUCCAGCACUGUUGAAAGACGUUAACAGAGGAUCCAAGAAUAGGCAUGCCGGACUCCAAAAUGAGAAAAACAUGAUACUUAAUGAGAUUGACUUUUCCAGCAUUAUAAUAACUCAAGAUGAGUAUAGCAUUUCAAAAUCUCCAGCUCCUGUAAAUGCUGUCUCUAAUAAAGAAGCCCUCCAAACGAAGACAAGGAACGAAGUUAGGCAUGAUGUUUCUGUAUUGGGGAAGCAAGUUGAGGCCUUGCAGUUGCAUUCUGGAGAAGAAACAGAAAAACUGGAUAAGAACAAUAGAUGUUUUAAGGUGGAUAACUCUGGAGAAGUGUCUUCUGGUCCUUCCCAACAUGAUGUCAAGAACAAAAGUGUUGAGGUGCUAAAUAUUUCGGAUGGGGGAAGAAAAUGUGCAUCAGAUGGUGCACAUGAUAAACAAUUGCUCAAAUCUUCUCUAAAAUCCUCAAAUUCCAAGAAAAUGGCUCGGUCAGUUACUUGGGCUGAUGAAAAUACGGAUGAAGGUACUGGCAAUAAAACAGAGAGUUCAUCCAAAAUAUCAGAAGAUGAGAAUCAAGCUUAUGGGGGAUCAGGCUUUACAGACAUGGAAGAGGAUGAUGAUGCAUAUCGAUUUGGAUCUGCAGAAGCCUGUGCAGCAGCACUAAGCCAAGCAGCAGAGGCUGUUGCCUCAGGUUCUGAUAUCCCUGAUGCUGUGUCCAAAGCUGGGAUUAUAAUAUUGCCACCUCCACAAGAAGUGGAUGAAGCAAUACAUCAGGAGAAGGAUGAGGUGCUUGAUACAGAACCAGCUCCUUUAAAAUGGCCAAGAAAACCAGGGAUGCCAAAUUAUGAUGUUUUUGAAUCGGAGGACUCUUGGUAUGAUAGUCCACCCAAGGGGUUUAACAUGACUGGUCUCUUCUUAGAUACAAUGUCUUUUGUGGACCCACUCCCUGCAUUCCGGAUGAAGCAGUGGCAACUUAUUGUACUUCUGUUUCUUGAUGCUCUUUCCGUAUGUAGGUUACCCACACUGACUCCAUAUAUGACAGGGCGAAGGACUUCGUUUCCAAAGGUGCUUGAUGGUGCUCAGAUAAGCACAGCGGAAUAUGAGAUCAUGAAAGAUAUAAUUAUUCCACUAGGUCGAGUGCCUCAGUUCUCAAUGCAAAGUGGAGGCUAAUUUGACAUAAAACAGCUGCUGCGGACUCCCUCGUAUAAUCUUUCAUGGGAAAAGAGGUUUUUGAGGAAAGUGUGCACAUACGCCAAAUUGUAUAUGUUUGUUGCAACUUGCAACUUCAUAUCUGAUUAUGAUAUAGAAAUGCUAUAUUGUCAAGACACUGAUUAUGAUAAGUGAAAAGCGUUAUUGUCAAUUGUUAGCUGAACUCUUUACGAGCUUAACAGGGACUGAAUAGAGCUAUUGCUUGGCUAUCACUUGGGUGCUACAGAAAGUUAUAAGCACAAUGCAAUUGGCAGGAAGCUCCCUAGUCCUGAACUCCUGAUAGAGGUGUUAUUGCCCUGUUCCCACCAUCAAGUGAUUUUUCUACCUAGUAUUAUAUCCUCUUGUUGAGCUUUAUUUAGUUUGGCAAGGUUCUUGAUAGCAUGUUACUGCUGUGAACUCUAUCUUAGACCAGUUAUGCGAAACUGUGAUUUGACUUUUGAGUGUGUGGAAUUCUUGGAGGAAAGUAUGGUCAUGAUAUUACCUACUUUGUGGAUAUAACUACGUUGAAAAGAACAAAUUCAUUUUUCUGUGUGAGUUUUAAAUGCAAGAUACUUAUUGAGGCAAUCUAAAAAUAAUGCCACUUAUUGAGGUACUUCUUAUUUAGCCA